AUCCUUAUUCAAACUAGCAACAUGAUAUAGAGUUGAAGUUUUCAAAGGUGCUGAACGAUGGCCCCUGAUUAGCUACCAUGGCUUGAGACGCUGCAUCUACACAAUGAACAUGUCGAAUGUAUUUCAGAUCAGAUCAUUUUUUUGUUCAGACCAUUCUCUCGGUUGGAGACUCGAGAAGUUGAAGAGAAUUAGAUUAGGUAACACCACAAACAUACGGCCUUCGGACGGAUGUAAAAGUUGAAGAAGGUAUAACUUACUGCUGCCCUUUGAGGAUCGUAUCAUAAAGUUCGUUAUUAUCGCUAGUAUGUGAACAUUUUCUUCUGUCAGCUCUUAAACAAUCUAUCAAACAGAGACAUGAGAAUCUGUUGCGAACUGGAAGCGGAGGACCCAAUCGAUGCGACUUAUAUCAUUUUCUUGCAUGGAAACUCACGAAGACCAGAGAAGUUGAUUGCCACGUUCGUUACCGAUAUUGCAAGCUGCAACGAGAGAGAUAAAAGUAGGUCAAAACUGGAUCCUAGUGAAAAUUAAGAUUGUAACUAAAAAAGAAAGCUGAUGCUGUGCAAACAUUGAAGAAUGAUGCCCUACCUGUAAGCUGAAGGUUCAUGACCAAAUUAGCCGUGUCUGCGACACCCACCAGCAGAUUCCAAGAUGAAAGUACACAUAGGACAAUCUAUAAAAUCUUUUGUCCCUGCUAAAACUAUGUUCACUUCAGAAUUGGUUGGUGAUGACGCUCUCAAAGCGAUAAAUCAUAAUAUAUCACUUUGCUAACACAUGCAUUCUGCGAAAACAGUCUUAUUAAUCCUAAUACGCAGGGAAUCAUUGGUUCUAACAACAAAAUUAAAGCAAGACAAGAGCAGAGCAGGCCUGUAGAAGAAGAGGUACUCGAUCAGUCUUGUUGCCCAGUCACUAGAGACCAUGGAGAAAGAAGUAUUUGUUAAUGACAGAAGUCUUUGAAACGAUAUCGUCGGUGCUUUGAAUAGGAAGACUCGGUGAAUGAGGAAAUAAAAAACCUCAGGACCGCAAAGUCCUGCAAAGUCGUGCCGUCCCAAGCUUAAUCUUCUGAAGCAGCACCAAAAAUCUUGUUGCGACUGAGUCUUUAUGACUCUGUACUCGUGCUUCAUUUAGCAUUCCAAAUGAUUUACAACCCAGAUGAGUUGUUGAAAUACACCCAAUUCCAGUUUCAAAUGUUCUUAAGUGCAAAGCUGUUGAUACCCAAGAGUCAACUGGCUUGGCAGUCUUUGGCAGGCAAGCUUAAAUGCUAUGAAAUAAGCAGUGAACUUAUGCUGCUAUUCAACAAGUAACUUCACUGCCUUCAGCCAAUAUUCACUGUUUAAAAUAUAUUCACCAUUACUGAAACUUAGCUCACAGCCAUGAUUAAGGGAGCUGCAGAAAGAGAUGGAAUAUUUCUCUUUGUAAGCACAGCCACUAGAAAUGCAAACUAAACUAGAAAGAGGUCUUCCUCCAAAUCAAGCCAUGUGAAUAGAAACUCAUAGACGUGUCUUGCUCAUUAUAAAAAUCUAGGUAAAAAAAAACUGGUGUUUAUCUGCGGAUGCAUCGGAUAUGAUAACAUUUCAGCAUAUAAUAUUCGCAAAGGCACAGCUAGUCGUUCAAUAUUAUAGCA